rnacentral:lncRNA from 1 species
ACCCAGAAUAAAUGAAAGAGCCACUCAGACAACCCAUUUUUGCCUCUUCCCUUAGACUUUCAAUUUGACUCCUCUCCAAUGAAAAAGGAUUUAAAGACUGCUUGUGGGGGUCACAGGAGUUCCAGGGGGGCUGUUAGGAAGCCAGCUCUGCAAGGUUGAUGCAGGGAACAAGUUGGCACAUGCUGUUUUAUGUCACGGAAGAGUGACAACCACCAAGAAGCCUUUCUAUCGAGCCAGUUAUCGACCCGUAAGGAGUGAUGAGCACAGGACACGCCUUACCUGAAGCCAGCAUCUCAACACCCAUGUGCAGAAGUCCAGUUAUCUUCAUCCAGGAGACGAGAAGACGAGUUGAGGCUACAAGGCAUGUUUCAGCGGGCUCAUCUAUGCAGCACAGCUUGAGCGUAGUGCAGAUCUUCAGAGCACACAGCUCAAAGGAAGAAGGACUCCCUCUUCCACUCUUCCAUGAUAGCCACAUUCAUGCCUGUAUACGGAGACACUGUUUGUUGCUCAUUACUGGGAGACAUUUCAGCACCCUGCCUUUUCCGCUACGACAAAGUCUACACCUGCUGGAGUAGAGGACAGAGCUGUCCGAGGGCUGCAUCUUGCUGUUUCUCCUGUCUCAUCUGCUACUACUUUUUGCCUUACUUAAAAAAAAAAGUACCUAAUGAAACUUAGAUAAAAAUAUGGAAAACUAUAUGAAGUAUCUAUGUAUUCACCAUGAAGACAGAAGAGAUAUUAAGAUUUUCAUACACUUGCUGUAAAUAUACCUAAUUUACUGAAACGGCCACCUGCCAUUUCUUCCUUUCUCACUUUUCCCAAAGACAUUAAUGUUCUUAAAGAUUGUAAGCACAUAUAUGUAUACUUUUAAUACAUAGGUGUCUAUGCAUGUCUAAAAUAGACCAUACAAAAUUAUAUAAUACAAUGUUUGAUUAUUUUUAUUUAUUUUUAUUUUACUUUAAGUACCGGGAUACAUGUGCAGAACGUGCAGGUUUGUUACAUAGGUAUACAUGUGCCAUGGUGGUUUGCUGCACCUAUCAACCUGUCAUCUAGGUUUUAAGUCCAGCAUGCAUUAGGUGUUUGUCCUAAUGCCCUCCCUUCCCUUGCCCCCGACCCCCGACAGGCCCCAGAGUGUGAUGUUUCCCUCCAUGUGUCUGUGCAGGGACAUGGAUGAAGCUGGAAGCCAUCAUUCUCAGGAAACUAACAUAGGAACAGAACACCAAACACCACAUGUUCUCACUCACAAAUGAGAGUUGAAAAAUGAGAACACAUGAUUAUUUUAUUUUAUUUUUAAUUUUUAAUUAUACUUUAAGUUCUAGGGUACAUGUGCACAACGUGCAGGCUUGUUACAUAUGUAUACACAUGCCAUGUUGGUGUGCUGCACCCGUUAACUUGUCAUUUACAUUAGGUAUAUUUCCUAAUGCUAUCCCUCCCCCUCCCCCCACCCCACAAUAGGCCCCGGUGUGUGAUGUUCCCCACUCUGUGUCCAAGAACACAUGAUUAUUUUAGAAAUAUUUUUUCUUACUUGGACUUCAGAUGAAAAGAAUUAGGUAAAUAAUAUUUCACAAUUUAUAGUGUACUAUUGGUAUCAGUUUACACAAAGUCUCUCUCUAAUCUCAUUUUAAUAUUUUCCCUCUUCCCCAUCCCUACAUGAGCCUCCACUUAUAUGCAUGUAAUAUGAAAUAGAGUUUUAAAUAGGCUAGUUAGGGAAAUGUUUUUGGAAAAGAAAUAUUCAAGUAAAGACUUAAGGUGAGUAUAUAUGGUACCCUUGAAAUAACUUCAUCUUAGAAAAGAGUCCAUUUUAUAUCUCACAGUGCUUUGCCAACAAGAAUAUGAUGUUUUGCUUAAUAAACAAAUUUAAAAAAAGACUGCAUCCAACCAGAUAAGGACACCAACAAGCAGACUUUUCCACUAUCAGUACUCACCAGAGGACUCUGUGACUGUAAAAGAGCAGGCCUCCAGCAGCUCGAAAUGGCCCCCUUAACUGAUACCAUCUUGCAGUCACUCAUGAUAAGAACUUGGCGUCUGCCACAGAAGGCUCUGCCCCAUUAACAAUUCUUCCUUGCAAGACCUGAGACCAUCCGCCCGGCCUAGACCAGAACUCCUUUUGUCUUCUUCACUCCCUCUGGACUGAUUCAUUAACCCUUUCUCCUAUCUCUUUUUCCUCUUGAUGUUAAAUGUUACUUUGUCGUUGAAUGUUUAACCUAUAACAUUUGUAUAUUAAGUAUAUUAUUAUGUAUGGUUUGCAUUAUUGACUGACUUGUGGAGUGGCUUGAGCCUGUGAGCCCAAGGCUGUGUCUACUAAGUAAAUGGGAAGGAUUAAAGAGAAUUGCCUCCUUGGGAACUCCAUUGUAGCUC